rnacentral:rRNA from 1 species
CCAAGAGAUCGGGAUAACACCUGGAAACAGAUGCUAAUACCGGAUAACAACAGAUGAUGCCUAUCAACUGUUUAAAAGAUGGUUCUGCUAUCACUCUUGGAUGGACCUGCGGUGCAUUAGCUAGUUGGUAGGGUAACGGCCUACCAAGGCGAUGAUGCAUAGCCGAGUUGAGAGACUGAUCGGCCACAUUGGGACUGAGACACGGCCCAAACUCCUACGGGAGGCAGCAGC